UGGGGAAUAUUGGACAAUGGGGGCAACCCUGAUCCAGCAAUGCCGCGUGUGUGAAGAAGGCCUGCGGGUUGUAAAACUCUUUCGCUUGGGAAGAUAAUGACGGUACCAAGUAAAGAAGCCCCGGCUAAUUUCGUGCCAGCAGCCGCGGUAAUACGAAAGGGGCUAGCGUUGUUCGGAAUUACUGGGCGUAAAGCGCGCGUAGGCGGCAUGCCAAGUUGGGGGUGAAAUCCCGGAGCUCAACUCCGGAACUGCCUCCAAAACUGGCAAGCUAGAGGAUGUGAGAGGAUAGUGGAAUUCCGAGUGUAGAGGUGAAAUUCGUAGAUAUUCGGAAGAACACCAGUGGCGAAGGCGACUGUCUGGCACAUUUCUGACGCUGAGGUGCGAAAGCGUGGGGAGCAAACAGGAUUAGAUACCCCUGUAGUCC
rnacentral:rRNA from 1 species